rnacentral:rRNA from 1 species
GUGGGGAAUCUUCCGCAAUGGACGAAAGUCUGACGGAGCGACGCCGCGUGAGUGAAGAAGGCCUUCGGGUCGUAAAGCUCUGUCAUCAGGGACGAACGGCCGGUGGAGUGGAAAGCCACCGGAUUGACGGUACCUGAGAAGGAAGCCACGGCUAACUACGUGCCAGCAGCCGCGGUAAUACGUAGGUGGCAAGCGUUGUCCGGAAUUAUUGGGCGUAAAGCGCGCGCAGGUGGGAUCUUAAGUCCAUUUUGAAAGUUCGGAGCUCAACUCCGUGAUGGGAUGGAAACUGGGAUUCUUGAGUACCGGAGAGGAAAGCGGAAUUCCCCGUGUAGCGGUGAAAUGCGUAGAUAUGGGGAGGAACACCAGUGGCGAAGGCGGCUUUCUGGACGGUGUCUGACACUGAGGCGCGAAAGCUAGGGGAGCGAACGGGAUUAGAUACCCUAGUAGUCC